CCUACGGGUGGCAGCAGUGGGGAAUAUUGCACAAUGGGGGAAACCCUGAUGCAGCGACGCCGCGUGAGUGAAGAAGUAAUUCGUUAUGUAAAGCUCUAUCAGCAGGGAAGACACUGACGGUACCUGAGUAAGAAGCCCCGGCUAACUACGUGCCAGCAGCCGCGGUAAUACGUAGGGGGCAAGCGUUAUCCGGAUUUACUGGGUGGAAAGGGAGCGUAGACGGCAGUGCAAGUCUGGAGUGAAAGGCGGGGGCUCAACCCCCGGACUGCUCUUGAAACUGGACGGCUGGAGUGCAGGAGAGGUAAGUGGAAUUCCUAGUGUAGCGGUGAAAUGCGUAGAUAUUAGGAGGAACACCAGUGGCGAAGGCGGCUUACUGGACUGUAACUGACGUUGAGGCUCGAAAGCGUGGGGAGCAAACAGGAUUAGAUACCCUAGUAGUC
rnacentral:rRNA from 1 species